GGGGAAUUGUUCGCAAUGGGCGCAAGCCUGACGACGCAACGCCGCGUGGAGGAUGAAGAUCUUCGGGUCGUAAACUCCUUUCGAUCGAGACGAACGGCCCUCGGGAUAACACCCUGAGGGCGUGACGGUACCUGAAGCAUAAGCACCGGCUAACCACGUUCCAGCAGCCGCGGUAAUACGUAGGGUGCAAGCGUUAAUCGGAAUUACUGGGCGUAAAGCGUGCGCAGGCGGUUUUGUAAGUCUGUCGUGAAAUCCCCGGGCUCAACCUGGGAAUGGCGAUGGAGACUGCAAGGCUAGAAUCUGGCAGAGGGGGGUAGAAUUCCACGUGUAGCAGUGAAAUGCGUAGAGAUGUGGAGGAACACCGAUGGCGAAGGCAGCCCCCUGGGUCAAGAUUGACGCUCAUGCACGAAAGCGUGGGGAGCAAAC
rnacentral:rRNA from 1 species